CCUCUUUUCCAUGUGCUUAUUACAGUUAUUUAAAGUCCAAUUCUAUUUUACUAAAUUAGCAAAUAAAUUAAUUAACAAGUUCUAGUUCAUCACUGACAUCCAAUUUUAUUUCUCGCUAGCAUGGAUACCGGUCAGUGGUUGGUGGAUCGUAUGCCUAGCAACCCGAAAAAAAUGGCAUUUAUUAGCACACAGGAGAGGUUCGAGGUUCCUCUCCGUCCAGAGCUAUGGUCUUCUGUGUUUUCUCCUCCAUGAGUUCCAUGGUACUUGUAACAGAAUGGGCUGAAUGCUUAUUUGAACAAGCACAGAAUUGAGCUUGACCCUUAGCUUGAAGCCCGCGUUGGAAGGUACAAUAUACCAAUAUAUCAUGACUCACCAAGGCUUUGAUGAAAGAUAAUUAUGUAUGUGAAGUACAUUUACAUCCUUUUUUGGAUGCAUGGAUAGCAGGAAACCGCGGUCGAAGUUUAUUAAUGCGGAUAACCAACACCUAGUAUAUCCUGA